rnacentral:rRNA from 1 species
UACGUAGGGGGCUAGCGUUGUCCGGAAUCAUUGGGCGUAAAGCGCGUGUAGGCGGCCCGAUAAGUCCGCUGUGAAAGUCCAGGGCUCAACCCUGGGAUGCCGGUGGAUACUGUCGGGCUCGAGUCCGGAAGAGGCGAGUGGAAUUCCUGGUGUAGCGGUGAAAUGCGCAGAUAUCAGGAGGAACACCAAUGGCGAAGUCAGCUCGCUGGGACGUGACUGACGCUGAGACGCGAAAGCGUGGGGAGCAAACAGG